UACGAACUGUGCGAACGUUAUUCGGAAUCACUGGGCUUAAAGGGUGCGUAGGCGGCUGCCUAAGUCAGGUGUGAAAUCUCCCGGCUCAACCGGGAAACUGCGCUUGAUACUGGGCGGCUCGAGUGAGGUAGGGGUGUGUGGAACUUCCGGUGGAGCGGUGAAAUGUGUAGAUAUCGGAAGGAACGCCAGCAGCGAAAGCGGCACACUGGGCCUUUUCUGACGCUGAGGCUACGAAAGCCAGGGGAGCGAACGGG
rnacentral:rRNA from 1 species